AGAAUCCUGAUGAUGCUGCAG
rnacentral:ncRNA from 4 species